rnacentral:rRNA from 1 species
UACGUAGGGGGCAAGCGUUAUCCGGAUUUACUGGGUGUAAAGGGAGCGUAGACGGCUGAGCAAGUCUGAAGUGAAAGGCGGGGGCCCAACCCCCGGACUGCUUUGGAAACUGUAUAGCUAGAGUGCAGGAGAGGUAAGUGGAAUUCCUAGUGUAGCGGUGAAAUGCGUAGAUAUUAGAAGGAACACCAGUGGCGAAGGCGGCUUGCUGGGCCAUUACUGACGCUGAGACACGAAAGCGUGGGGAGCAAAUAGG